GACGAACGCUGGCGGCGUGCCUAAUACAUGCAAGUCGAACGCAGUGGGGACGGGUGAGUAACACGUGGGUAACCUCCCAUCAGAGGGGAUAACACUUGGCAACAGGUGCUAAACUGAUACUGAUUGAGGUAGCCGCGGUGCAUUAGCUAGUUGGUGGGGUAACGGCUCACCAAGGCCACGAUGCAUAGCCGACCUGAGAGGAGGAUCGGCCACACUGGGACUGAGACACGGCCCAGACUCCUACGGGAGGCAGCAGUAGGGAAUCUUCGGCAAUGGACGAAAGUCUGACCGAGCAACGCCGCGUGAGUGAAGAAGGUUUUCGGGUCGUAAAACUCUGUUGUUGGGGAAGCGUUAUCUGACCAGAAAGCCACGGCUAACUACGUGCCAGCAGCCGCGGUAAUUC
rnacentral:rRNA from 1 species